GCCCUAAACAGUAAACAAGAAAGCCCCUCUCUCUGUCUCUCUGAAGAUGAUAAUGGCCGCGCUGAGGAUUUUCACAAGGACUCAGAGGUUCUUCCGCUUUCAAUUGCAAAGCGAAAUGGGUAUCAUUCAAUCGCCAUUCUUGUUAUUUAGCAAUUACUUCCUCUUUUCCAUUCUUCUACUUUCACUCAUAAACCUAAAGAU
rnacentral:misc_RNA from 1 species